rnacentral:sRNA from 1 species
GAUCUUCAUCAUCACCAUU